AAGCGGUGGAGGAUGUGGCUUAAUUCGAGGCUACGCGAAGAACCUUAUCCUAGUCUUGACAUGGUUUAGAAUCCCGUCGAAAGAUGGGAGUGCCCGCAAGGGAGCUUUACCACAGGUGCUGCAUGGCUGUCGUCAGCUCGUGUCGUGAGAUGUCGGGUUAAGUCCCUUAACGAGCGAAACCCUUGUCCUUAGUUACCAGCGGGUCAUGCCGGGGACUCUAAGGAGACUGCCGGUGUUAAACCGGAGGAAGGUGGGGAUG
rnacentral:rRNA from 1 species